CUCUCCCCGCCCAAUCUGGCUUGCUGUCCCCUGGACUGUGCCAACAACAAUCCAGUUCCACAGCGUAUAAGGGUGGCUGUGGGGACAGCCUCCAAAGCUGACAGAGAGGCUAUGAAUGCUUCAUGAUGGUCAAAUGGACAGAGCUUCGAUUAGAGACCCCAAGAUGGAUCUUGUGUAGGCAAAAAGGGAUCCCCUCUGGGUGAAGAUAGUCCUGGACAUGGUAAAGAGCAACGGACCUGUACAGAGGCCCAGCUGUGGCCUGCUGGGCUGACUGUCCCACCAGCAGACAGGCUUCAUCAGGAAUAAAAAACAUGUAAAUAUCA